UGCAAGUCGAGCGAACAGACGAAGUACUUGUACUUCUGACGUUAGCGGCGGACGGGUGAGUAACACGUAAGGAAUCUACCUAUAAGCGGGGGAUAACAUUCGGAAACGGAUGCUAAUACCGCAUAACAUUUACUUCCGCAUGGAAGUAAAUUGAAAGACGGCUCUGCUGUCACUUAUAGAUGACCUUGCGGUGCAUUAGUUAGUUGGUGGGGUAAUGGCCUACCAAGACGAUGAUGCAUAGCCGACCUGAGAGGGUGAUCGGCCACAUUGGGACUGAGACACGGCCCAAACUCCUACGGGAGGCAGCAGUAGGGAAUCUUCCGCAAUGGGCGAAAGCCUGACGGAGCAAUGCCGCGUGAGUGAAGAAGGCCUUCGGGUCGUAAAACUCUGUUAUAAGAGAAGAACAAAUUGUAGAGUAACUGCUACAGUCUUGACGGUAUCUUAUCAGAAAGCCACGGCUAACUACGUGCCAGCAGCCGCGGUAAUACGUAGGUGGCAAGCGUUGUCCGGAUUUAUUGGGCGUAAAGGGAGCGCAGGUGGUUUCUUAAGUCUGAUGUGAAAGCCCACGGCUCAACCGUGGAGGGUCAUUGGAAACUGGGGAACUUGAGUACAGAAGAGGAAUGUGGAACUCCAUGUGUAGCGGUGGAAUGCGUAGAUAUAUGGAAGAACACCAGUGGCGAAGGCGACAUUCUGGUCUGUUACUGACACUGAGGCUCGAAAGCGUGGGGAGCAAACAGGAUUAGAUACCCUGGUAGUCCACGCCGUAAACGAUGAGUGCUA
rnacentral:rRNA from 1 species